rnacentral:rRNA from 1 species
CGCUGGCGGCGUGCCUAACACAUGCAAGUCGAACGGAGCGAGUUUGACAGAACUCUUCGGAGGGAAGACAAGCGAGCUUAGUGGCGGACGGGUGAGUAACGCGUGAGUAACCUGCCUUCAGAGGGGGACAACAGUUGGAAACGACUGCUAAUACCGCAUAACAUCAUGAGUGGACAUCCACAUAUGAUCAAAGGAGCAAUCCGCUGAAAGAUGGGCUCGCGUCCGAUUAGAUAGUUGGUGGGGGUAACGGCCCACCAAGUCGACGAUCGGUAGCCGGACUGAGAGGUUGAACGGCCACAUUGGGACUGAGACACGGCCCAGACUCCUACGGGAGGCAGCAGUGGGGGAUAUUGCACAAUGGGCGAAAGCCUGAUGCAGCAACGCCGCGUGAGGGAAGAAGGUCUUCGGAUUGUAAACCUUAGUCAACAGGGAAGAAGCAAGUGACGGUACCUGUGGAGGAAGCCACGGCUAACUACGUG